UUGUCAUUUUUAUUAUGUUUUAGCCACGACCUGAUGUGUUCUGCUAGGUGUGCAUGUGUCGUUGCCGUUGUGGGCUACUGCUAGAUGUGUGCCUAUCUGAAUUCAAGUUUAAUACAUGGAUCUGAUGUAUGUUUGUCAUGGAUAUAAUUCCGCAUGGUCUUUUAUUUGGGGUCCUUUUGGUGGUGAGGUGUGUGUUGCUUCCAAGGGUCGCCUUGCUGUGCUCCCUGCGCUGGGUAUGAACCCUACUGGUAGAGUAGCAUGGAGAUGGAGAGAAUAGGAGCACGCCGCAGCUCGGUUACGGUAUUUUUAUGAGAUGGAGAUCAAGUGGUUCUGAAUCUCAGUAUUGGUCUAAAGGUGGAGGACUAUAAGGGCUUGUCGGUUUGCAAGGCGUUGUCUCUUGAGGCGAGCUUAUGUGGAUCAUCUGGGAAGCUCAGGCAUGGAGCAGCGACUCAAGGAGAUUUGGUUUGGAGUUUGGGAAGGUAGUGUUGUGCAAUAUGCAGGAAGGAUUCUGUUACCAUUAAUUAACCCACCAUGUUGGUGCUGGAGCUUUUGUGAUGAGUAGCAAAUGAGGACAUUGCCCCUUCAAGCCAGCAAGAUGAUUGAUGUACGUUGAUGAAUAAGAGCGCCCAUCCAAGAUACUAAGGUAACUCAAGCGGUUUCAGAUACCGGUGAGCACUCAAGGAGAUAUAUUGCCAAAGUUCCACAGGAUUCAGUAUAUAGGCAUAUACAAUAUUACCCAAAAUGGGAUGAACCUGCAUGUUGUUGGGAUCGCUCUCAGAUUGGAUCACCAACACUUUAGGAAGAUGGUGAGAUACUGCAAGGAGUCUGAUUCAUUCUCAAGAAUGCUUGUCUUUGAGUACCAACCAAAUGAGACUCUCUAUGAGCAUUUUCACGGUUCUAUGUUGUCAAGGAUCUGAUUUUAUCAGGUUUCUGAAAUGCAAAAGAUUCACACACGAGGUUUUCUUUUUAUUUAUGUACAUUAUGGGCUUGUGUACAUACAGCUGAAUUUAUUGUUUUGUUUUAUCUUCUAUAACAUAAGCUUUGUUAGUAUUUUUUAUUUUUCUUAGCAGAUUAGCAGAUUAGGCAUGUAGGAUACUUUGCAAUGCUUGCAUGUGUACUUUUGUUGUGACACACAAUUCAAACAAUUUUGCACAUAGCUCUACAAGAGCACGAUGAUGUUAAUUUCCUUUUAUGUGUCCAUGGUUGCAAAGCAUGGGCCAGUUUAAA